AACAAAUUCCUUAAAGGCCGGGAACGCAUUGGCGGUUCCUCUGGUACUGCAAUUUGCAAGUGUUCUU